rnacentral:lncRNA from 1 species
UAGAUCCAGGUCUGCUUACUAGAUUUUUUGUUCAUUUUCCAGUUGAGUAGGUCACUAAAUAGGAUUUCUGAGACACAUCACCAUCAUUAUUUACUUAAGUGUUAAAGUUGGGCUCAGCUGUUGAGGGCCACUCUAAUUUGAUCAGGCUUCAUGGGUUGAUUCAGCAGGGUUCUACAGUUGGUUGUCAACCUAAACUCUUGAAGACCACCUUCUAAGAAUCAAACCGAAUUUCUAACCAGCGGAACUUUAGACAAGAAAGGGUCUGUCAAGAAACUUAAAGGGCCAGUCACAUGCAACCAAGGAAAGAUCAUCUAUAAUUACAUUGACUCGAAAGAGUGUAGAUAAAGAGAGAAAAUUGCAUGAUUAGAUUGGAAUUGCUUUCAUCUCUAAACAUAUAUUGUUUACUGAAAUAUCAUUUCAAAUGGAAUCUGAAAGGUCUAGAAAAGAUUAUGGAGAUAAAACAAAACUGUAGCAUAAAACUAAAUCAAUAAAAUAUACUCUACAAAUGACUGGUUUCAAAGUUUAGUGUGCAGGCAAUUAUGUUUUCUAUCAUAAGGUCGUAAGAUCGACUUAACUUGCCACUAAAAUCAGACACC